GGCGGCGUAGCCAAGCGGUAAGGCAAUGGUUUGCAAAACCAUUAUGCUCCAGUUCGAAUCUGGACGUCGCCUCCA
rnacentral:tRNA from 1 species